GCCGGGCGUGGUGGUGCGUGCCUGUAGUCCUAGCUACUUGGGAGGCUGAGGCAGAAGAAUCACUUGAACCCGGGAGGCGGAGGCUGCAGUGAGCCAAGAUCAUGCCACUGCACUCCAGCCUGGGCAACAGAGCGAGACUCUGUCUCAA
rnacentral:SRP_RNA from 1 species